rnacentral:rRNA from 1 species
CAAUAGCGUAUAUUAAAGUUGUUGCAGUUAAAAAGCUCGUAGUUGGAUUUGUGGCUGUCACGGGCGGCCUAUCACUUAGUGUUAGUGCUUGCCUGUGUCGCCAUCCUUGGGUGGAGCCCGUGUGGCAUUAGGUUGUCGUGCGGGGGAUGCCCAUCGUUUACUGUGAGAAAAUUAGAGUGUUCAAAGCAGGCUUAUGCCAUUGAACAUGUUAGCAUGGAAUAAUAAGAUAGGACCUCGGUACUAUUUUGUUGGUUUGCGCACCGAGGUAAUGAUUAAUAGGGACAGUUGGGGGUAUUCGUAUUUCAUUGUCAGAGGUGAAAUUCUUGGAUUUCUGAAAGACGAACUACUGCGAAAGCAUUUACCAAGGAUGUUUUCAUUAA